CAAAUGCAACAAUAUGGCGGAUCGCGCUCCGGCGCCGGCACCGCUGUAUAUUUCGCAGUGACUUGCUUCGGCAUUCGAAGUUGUUGAGGUCACGAAACUACGUGCGUAACGCAGGUACACACAUAAGUGCAUAUACAUACGUGCUCGCGCGUUGUUGAUCUCUUUUUCUAUCGAAAAUAAUUGUGUAUUAUUACUACGGAUUUUCACGUUCCUGUGAAGCAUCUACGACGCUCCUCAUCGUAGCUGUUGCCGUCGUUCUCAUCGUCAAAUUCUUAUCGAUCAGCUAUCCGUGCCAGCAGCGAUGUGCUUCCGUAGAUGAUGGAGUUGACGGAAACCAGCGACCUUCUUGCCGACCAAGUUAUGUCCUCGCGUCAUAAUCGUUGCUGAGUAAGAGGAAGAAUCUGUGUGUUGCUUGUCUAGAAGAGGACCAGCGACAACGCUUCGUGUCAGUCUGUCCAGUUUUGUGAUAAGAGCGUAGCGGGCGCAGUAAGGGCCCGAGCAGGAGAUACGUAGACCAUGCCAGGGCCAGGGGCGGAGUGGUGACCUAGACCUCAUCCCUCGGCUCCGACCCUCGAUGCUUACGCUACGAUUGGUGUCGACUCACUUCCUGAAGCAACCAUAGGCAGUGCCCUUCGCCUUAGUGAAAGGGCUCGAUGCGAUGUGCCGUGAUAGGGACAUGAACCCAGAACUAGUCGAGUCGCACGAUCUCCGUUUAACGCCGUCGUCGUCGUCGUCGUUACCGUCGGCGUCGUCGUCGCCGUCGCCGUCGUCGUAAAAAUAAAGACUCGGUUGUUCGAAAUUUUCACGUGCACACAAGAAGGACUUCUACUCCGACGGCCCUUCCAUCUUUCUCUCUGUCUGUCUCUCUCUCUCUCUCUCCUUUUCUUUCUUUCUCUCUCUCUCUCUCUCUCUCUGUCGCUGCGGCGAAAUCGUUCUCGCUCUGGCGCACACACAUACACACACGUACACAUAUAUACACCACGCACCCCCACGAGUCGUUCCUUACCCUCCAAUCACAAAGACGAAGCAGAACGACUUCUCUCUUUAGUGUUUUCAAGAUAAAUUAAAGUCCCGACGGACGAAACGGACGAGGAAGUGUGUAUAUGGUAUCGCGUGCGGUACUCGGUACUCGCGGUAUUCGGUAUAAACCCGUGAUCCGGCUGGCUCGAAGGAGCACGAGAUCAUAACUCGGAAGAGACGACAUUACCAGUACGUAUUCACGGUGAAUCCAGACGAAGGGAAGGAAGAGCAGGACGAGACAGCUGCCACGCUGAACUCGGUGUACAUCAACCUGUGGAGGGUUGCGAGAGAGUGUAUUUGCGGCGGCGGGUCGCGGUGCAGACAAAGUGGGAUGAGACGCCCUCAGCAAGAACAUCUCCAUCAUCAUCACCACCACCAUCAUCACCAUCACCACCAUAAUCAUGGAUCCUCAGCAAGCCCCACGUGCUCUCGUCAAGCGCACGAUAAGGACGAGUCUCGUCUCGCUCGCGUAAAGCGCGUUCUGGCCGGUUCGCUGCUGGGCCGCGGCGCGGGCACCAGCAGGAUCUUUGGCACUCGGCUGGAGCUAGUCGAGUCAUACCACGACACGGGCGUACCGUACGUGGUGCAUCGACUAUGCAGUUACAUCGAGACUCACGGUUUCCAGAGCGCGGCGGUGUUCCGUCUGUCGGGCGGCAAUCCCCGACUGGCGGAGCGGUUGAGGGUGGCUUUUGAACGGCGGGGCGACGCCGAUCUGGAAGCAGCCGGGUGCCCGCCGACCGCCGCGACCCUCCUUCGUCAGUACCUGAAGGAACUACCGCAGCCCGUCGUUCCCUCCACCGUUGUUGGCAGAUUACUCAACCUACAUGCUCAGAACUACGCGAACGAUCAUGAUUCUUGGAUCACGUCGACGAAGGAGUUGCUGUCGACUCUGCCGUCCUCACAUUAUCAUCUGCUCGGGUACCUGGCGAUUUAUCUUAGCCGGUACGAGGCGCGACACGGACGCAGCGCCGGUGUCUGCGGUGUUUUCGCACCUGUCAUCCUGCCUCACGUGCCGCCAGCGACUACCCUCCUGCGGGACAUCCUUGCCGAGGCGUUAGUGUUGUUUCCCGAUUGUGUCCGUGAUAGUACGGUAAACGGUGUCUUACCUGCUGGCGAUUGCAAGAUCUGCAAGGAUACGAGGAACGAGCCGAAGGACUCCGAAGGCACGUCUCUGCUUUGCGCGCUGAAACCGCGUAAGCGCAAGGAACGUCGUGAAUCCUGCUGCCAGGAACGGAAGUUGAUAAGGAGCAGUAGUGAGGAACGUGUUCUUGACAGUCCCACCGACGUCGUCGCAGAUACAAUUAGACGUGUGAGUAGCCACGAAGAUUUCAACAGCCAGGAACAUUUACAUAUUUUAUCGCAACUCGGCCAAGAUAUGGGACACGGUGUGAGAUGCGGCGGUUUACCGCUUCACGAGAGAACCAACGUCUCGCCGGUCUCAAAGAAAACGUCAUCCGUGCCGUCGCCAUGCGAAGUGGUCGUGGCGACUGAGAAAUAUGACUGCGACGCUGAGAAAUUGAGGAGUAGCGAACGUUUCAGCAGAAGUAUCACCCCGAGAGGUAGGAGACAAGCGCGUAGAAGAAGAGUGCACAGAGUUCCGGAUGCGGAUCAAAGUUCCAGCAAGGAAAACGAAGAAGAGUCUGAAAGUAUGUAUAUUGCCAAUUUAUCACCGAACCCGAGCAGCCAUAAUGGCUCGCCGGCUCAAAGCUUUUUGGAGAUGCUGAGCAGCGGGCCGAGCAGAUCACCUUCGCCUGCUCGUCCACCUACCGUCGAUCACGAAGAUGUGAAUAAUCCUAGCUUGACCAAUUGGGGCUUUCAACAUUUGGAAGGAAACGAAGAAGCUGUGGACGCGCGAGUCGAAGCCAUGCUCUCGCCGAGAAAUUCGCUGUUGCUUCCCAGAAGAUUUUACUCCGAGGAAGAGAUACAACCGAGCACGGCAACUUCAUCGGACGUAGGGCUGAAGAAUUUGGCAAAACAUAUUAAUGGCCUGAAGAAAAAGAUCAAAAAGUACGAGGACGAAUUCGAGGAGAACUUCGGCUAUCGGCCGAGUCACUCCGAUAAGAUGAGCAACCGCGACAUCAAGCGAUUAUGCACAGAGCUGAAUAAAUUGCGAAAAGAACAUAAAUUGCUCAAGGAGGAUCCGAUAGGUGCGCUUCUGGCCAACAACCGAUCGAACACUGCCGGCAGUCCCAUUAACAACAAUAAUAGCCAUGAGAAAUCUCGGGCGACAUCGAUGGAGGAGAUGGUGAAGGAAGCGGAGAAGAAACUCAGCGAGAAGCGGCUCAAGUCUAAUCGGCCCGAUAAUAUGGAGGAGCUCAGCUACGAGCAGCUGUUGGAUGAAAAGACGGCCGUCCAAAAGGCGUUGCUUCACAUCGAAAACACUUUCGGCAGGCCGGUCUCUAAGGAAGACAGAGGGGUCGUUCGACCGUUGUACGAUCGGUACAGGACGUUAAAGAGAUUGCUCAUCAGAGCAGGCGCGAGCAAAAACAAGGACAGCGUAUCAGAAUUGGCUACGAUUUUAGAGCACGAAACGAUGGAUUUUACGUCGUCGAGUUUACCAGUGAAUCCCGCGGAAACCGACAGGAGGGCCAGCGAGCCCGAUAUGUCUCACCGAGGUAUCCUGGACUGCAUUGAUCCCGCGGAUCAAUUGCCGACCGACAGCGAUAGUCAGCACAGCAGCAGCGAAGGCAGUCGCGGUCCCGCUGAAAGUCUACACGCUCUUCCCCAAGAAGAAUUACUGAUACAGCAACGGGCUACUCGAGAGGAGAAGAAACGACUUCGUAGGGCGUUGAAGGAGCUGGAAGCACAGUUUGAAGCUCGAGCUGGCCGUCGUAUGCAACGCGAAGAUCGUGGACCGCAAGUUACCACCGUGUACGAGUCCUACAAACAAGCGAAAGCGAAAUUGAGAUUGAUUGACGCCCUUAUAGCCAAGAAGGCUUGACGCAGUAUUUAAUGCACGAAUAAUGAAGAGUGAAAUUACGCUAUUGAAACUCCUGAACGAGUUUCGAGUGCUAUGGGACACAGCUAUUGUACCACGAAUGCAGCGACACAUUUAUGUAGUCCGACGCUAUUUGCAUCGUGAAAUCACAAUUAAAAGGGCCUGAAGAAACAGUUCGAUCCAGCAUCUGCUGAAGCGAGAAACAAUAAUGUAACCAGAAUCUAUCGCCCAGAAUCAAAAGGUUUCGAAGGCAAAAACGUGGAAGUGGAUGACAUUUGCGAGUGUAAGAUUUACUUCGCUUUCGUAAGUUCAUGCGUACCAAUGUUUUAUUUAAUUUUCUUCCAGUCGCGCAGAUUCCGCAUUACAAUGGGAAGUAAUACUGAAUAUUUUUCGAUAUUAAAUCAAUGCAUUAUUUACAGCAUCGUUGUUUCGAUCAGCUUAAAAGACAUAUUGGAAGUACGCAUGAACGGACAAGUUAUAGUGCGCAAUAGUACGAUUACUGAGUAAAAACAUGGUAUCGAGAUAGCACAUUUGAGAUCUUUAAGCACUAAUAAUUCUAGAGCAUAAAGUGAUUGCUAUGAUACAUCGUGCUAUGAUACAUCGUGUAACACGCACGAUGAGAUAAUCGUGAAUCUCGUUUCAUCACAUCAUUGUAUUUAUCAUUCGUUCAUUUUCAAUGAAAAAUUUCCAUUUGAUUGUCCUCCAAUUUGUUUAUCUUGUAUGCAGGAUUAAGAUGGAUUUUUGACAACAAAAAAUCUGAAUACCUGUUUUGAUAUAUUCACAGUUUAUAAAUUGUCAACCAAUUGGUUACAAAUAUGAAACGUACUUAUAUUUUUAUAUAUAUUUGUUGCAAAGAUUUUUAAAUUUUAUUUAUAUUUAAAGUGUCAAGUUUUAUACGGAUAAACGCAAGAACCAAUAUCGAAUGAGCAAUGCCUGACGUUAAAGAUGGACUUGUCGUUUUAAUCGUUUUAAUCGUUAAGGCAAAUCCAGAUUAAGAUUUUUGCAAAAUACACAAAGGAAAGACAUAUAUCACGGUUUGAGAACUGAUUUAAUAUAACAAUUGAUUUCACCAACGAGUAAUACUAUAUCGAUAAGAUGUAGAAAACUAGAAGAGAACGGGUAUUCAUAUAAUGAAUGGACGUUUAUAGCGAACCCGAUAUUUAUUUUAUCAUUUUAAAGUAAUCGCUGAAGUCUAAUGCUGAGAGAGUAAAGAACGAAUCUGUGGGGUUACUCGUAAUGUAAGUACCUUGUAAGAGAUAUCACAUGUUGUAAUAUUGUAGAGUACUAUAAAAUGUUACGAUCUUAAUGACGUAUUAAAAGAAAGAAAAGAAUAUUCAUUAAAAGAAGCUCGUUGAUUUUUGCGUUUAUAUUUUUGUACAAGUACGAUUUUAAGGCCGUUCGCAACGUAUACACACAGCCGAUUAGGGAAUACCGUAAAAACGCCUUAAAAUUCCACUUGAUCGAUUUUUUCACGCAGAAUCUCUAGAAUCAAGGGUGCUAAUGGCUUGAGUUCUACAGCGUGCCGACUAACAUAAAAAGAAAUGCUUUGCAAGUCUUACUGAGUUGCAAUCGCGCCGAAGGGGUUCUUGCUUUUUACUACAUCAUUGCGACGAAAUUAGUCAUCGACUAUCUCAAAAAUCUCAAUAUAUAACCAAGAUGCAAAAAUUGUGAUGAUUCUAUCUCUUUGCAGGAACGGUGAUAGUUUCUUUUGACAACAUUAGAUAACAUUUUUACACAAAAAAAGAAUUUCUCUUGCAGUGAUUAGCAAGUCCAAAUAAUUUUUUAUACUACAACUUUCUUUUAAAUUCCAAUAUAAUUGCUCCACAAAGAGUUGAGUUUUGCAUAUUCGUUAUAUAUUGCGAUUUUAACAUCGAAUUCUUCAGAAAAUUAGCAAACAACCCCGUAAACUAAUUCCACACACCCGCAGAUAAAAUUGAUAAAGUUUUUGGAAAAAAAAUUAUAUAUCGGCGUUGACGAAAUAAUCACGGGCAUGUGAAUGCGAAAAAUGCGUGUCCGUUCUAAUUAAUAAAAAUUAAUAACAAGCAAAAAAAAAAAAGAAGAGAGAAUGAAACAAUUUUUUAGACCAAAGCAUUUUUUAGUCUGUGAUAUAAUGAGAGAUAUAUUUGCGUUAAGAUGGAAGAAUGUGUGUGUGAAGUAUUCGGUUCCGUUUUUUUUCUUCCUUUUUUCCUUUUCGAAAGCGAUUUUUUAGACGAUUGAGAUAAAGGAGGGAAUGAUUUUUCCGCCGUUUUCUCCACAGAAGACGAUUGGUGUUGGCAAUCUCUUCAGAAGAUCUUACAGCGAUGACGAUAACUUAAGUAAAGCCAUGUCUUUUCUGGUAGAACAGUUGCAGGCAGGAUAAUCAUUGCAGAGAACACAAAAUAAGAGCAGAUUUUUUUUAUAAAUAACCACAAUGAUUGAAAUAAAUAUAUCAAGAUAUUAAAAUAAUCAAGCACUAAAUCGCUCUGUUAAUCGAUUGAGUCUUGAAAUUAAUUAAUCUCUCUUAUCUGGUAUCAUUUAUUGACUUGUUUCUCAAUAGACUCUUAAAAGUAAGCGGUAGUAAAAGUAUUUUAUUGUCGCAAUAAGAUUGUUCUCUGCGUUUCUCUCGAUUGUACUUCUGCAUCCGUACUGCCGAAAGGACUUAUUCACGAGAGUAAAUUCAUUUUGUAUUCAACGUCACAGGAAUGUUUUUAUUUCCCACGGGCGCAUCUAAGCCGCGUCCUUCUACAGUAGGAAAGAAAGAGAGCAAAUUAAUCUUAUCGUAGAUUUAAGAUGACAUUUUAUAUUAACGUUAAUUAAGGUACAUUUUGUAGUGCAUAGUGUCUUUAACAUAUAAGAAUGGAUGAUUCUGUGUAGUUGCUUCGAGAGAGAGAGACAGAAGCAGGAACACUUUAGAACAGAGAUCGCAGAUACAGAGAAGCGAGAAAAUUUUAUUUAGCAACACUAAGAAGGCAGAAUCGGAUAGAUUAUGAAUCGUUGAAUUAGUACUUUAAAAGAAAAAAAACAAAGAGAAACGCUAGAUAUUCCAUGCCGACCGCAUGAUUUCCGACGACAUAUCUAGAGAGAUUAGAGCCUUGCGACAGAGAGAACGAAGAAAGAAUAGAUGAGCAGAGAAAAUUAAUUGUGUAACGAUCAAUUUCUCUUGGGUAUCGUCGUACGUAGCUGCAACUGACAAUUGCAAUUGACCGUGAGAGCCGCGACGACGAAAAAUCCGUCUCUAUCCGUAGGAGUCCUAAAAAAACAAAAAAAAAUAAACAAACCACCUUCGGCGUUUAUACACAAAUGUUGAUAUUAUGUAUAUACAUAUAUAUAUUAUAUGUAUAGAGGUACAGGCAGAGCUGCGCAUACAUAAAUUACAUACAACCGUACAUGCAUACGAACGAAUAUUACACAUUAUUAUGAGGUAGCACGCAGAAUCGAAUAAAGUGGAAUAUGAUCUGCUAAAAA
rnacentral:misc_RNA from 1 species